rnacentral:ncRNA from 1 species
UUCUUGCGUCGGUGGUGAACUUCAAUGUCUACAUUCAAAUUCACCAUCGGCGUGAGUUCGUUCUGAGAUUAUACGGCCUUUAACUUGAUCUGGAUAAUACCAGCGAAAGGAUCAUGCCCUCCCCUCUCC